rnacentral:rRNA from 1 species
UACAGAGGUCUCAAGCGUUGUUCGGAUUCAUUGGGCGUAAAGGGUGCGUAGGUGGCAUGGUCAGUCGGAUGUGAAAUCCCGGGGCUCAACCCCGGAACUACAUUCGAUACUGCCAGGCUAGAGUACUGGAGAGGAGAUUGGAAUUUACGGUGUAGCAGUGAAAUGCGUAGAUAUCGUAAGGAAGACCAGUGGCGAAGGCGGAUCUCUGGACAGUUACUGACACUGAGGCACGAAGGCCAGGGGAGCAAACGGG